UACGUAGGGUGCGAGCGUUGUCCGGAUUUAUUGGGCGUAAAGAGCUCGUAGGCGGUCUGUCGCGUCUGCUGUGAAAACUCGGGGCUUAACCCCCGGGCCUGCAGUGGGUACGGGCAGACUAGAGUGCGGUAGGGGGAGACUGGAAUUCCUGGUGUAGCGGUGAAAUGCGCAGAUAUCAGGAGGAACACCGAUGGCGAAGGCAGGUCUCUGGGCAUUAACUGACGCUGAGGAGCGAAAGCAUGGGGAGCGAACAGG
rnacentral:rRNA from 1 species